UCAGGUUGACGAAAAUCAGUAGGAGGAGUAUCAAAUUUGAAGAUGAACAAGAGACUCUGCUUUUUCAUGCAUCAAUCAAAACACUAAUCCCACUCCAAUCCAACUCAUCCUUUUCGAUUCUAGGGCAAAUACUCUUUGAUAAAAACCUCUCUCCAAGUCUCACCUUCCUUUAAUUCACCAUCGAAACUAGAUUCUCAGAGCUCACGAGUCUCACAAAUUCGAAUUUUAGGGCGUAAUCGUACAACACAGAGAUGUUCUUCAGCGGCGAUUCGUCGACUCGGAAGCGAGUCGAUUUGGGAGGCCGAAGUUCCAAGGAAAGAGACCGCCAGAAGCUUCUGGAGCAGACCAGGUUGGAGCGGAACCGCCGGCUGUGGUUGCGCCAGCAAAACUCCGCCGCAAUCAAAAUCCAGAAAUGCUUCAGAGGAAGAAAGGUGGUAGAAGCUGAACAUUUGAAGGUGAGAGAGCAGUUCUUUAUGACUUAUGGGAAGCACUGCCAAAAUGUGGACAGGCACCGCUUUGGGCCUGAUUCGGUUUUUCUCCGCCAGUUGCUUUUCUUCUUUAAUCCACAAAAUGUUGCUGAUUUCUCUGCUCUUGUGGAGACAUGCCGAUUACUUCAACAGUUUGUUCAAGAAAGUGCAGGGGAUAUUGUGAGCCUCUUUGCAGGCGUUGACUAUUUCUCUAUGCAAGCUAUGGUUAACUACAGGGUGAAGCAACUUACAUAUGCUUGUAUUCAGGCUGUUUAUAAAAAUAGAAAUCAGUUGAAGGAUCAACUGUUUAGGACAUCUGAUGAAUCCAGUACAUCAACAAUCCUCUUGUUGGAGGCAGUAGCUAUGUUGAUUGAUCCCAGACUUCCCUGGUCUUGUAAGAUAGCCGGCUAUCUCUUUCAAAGAAAUACGUAUACCCUGUUGAGAGAGAUUGUACUCACCGGGAAGGAUGGCAUAAAUUUACAAGAUUUUGUUGUAAAAGUAUCUUCUCUGGAGAAUGUCCUUGCCCUUAUUAUGUCUCAUGUUGGUCAGAAGUCAUGUGCUUGUCCUGAUAUUGACCCACGAUGCAGUUUCUUGUCUCAAAUUCUUACAAUUCCUUCCUUGUGGAAGCUUUUUCCAUACCUAAAAGAGGUUUUUGCAAAGCGGGAGCUGAGUGAUCAUUAUAUUCCUCAGAUGGCACUGUGUGUGCAAAAUCAUGCUAAUGUUCUACCCAAUGAUAUAUCAACCGAAUGCCCUGGUUAUGCUUGCCUUCUUGGAAAUUUGCUUGAAACAGCUGGGCUCGCUUUUUCUCAAUCUGAUUGCUCAUUUGAUAUGGCUAUAGACUUUGCAGCUGUUGCAACAUUUUUGUUGGAGGCGCUUCCUCCGAUGCAAUCAUCAAAGAAAGAAAGUAAAGAAAUGGACGAGGAUGAAAUGAUUGUUGGAUAUGAAGUAAUGGAGAGGGGUCUGAACAGGGAUUUGGAAAAACAGAUUUCGAAUGCAAUAGAUCCACGGUUUCUUCUACAAUUGACAAAUGUUCUGUUCGGAGAGAUUUCACUUGUCAAUGGUUCAUAUAAAGAAGGGCCUCACAGUAAAGAGGUAUUAGCUGUUGGUGCUGCUUGUGCUUUCUUGCACGUGACUUUCAACAUUUUACCCCUUGAGCAUGUUAUGACUGUACUAGCAUAUAGAACAGAGCUUGUUCCUGUACUAUGGAACUUCAUGAAGCGAUGCCAUGACAAUCAGAAGUGGUCAUCCUUGUCUGGACAACUAGCAUACCUGCUGGGAGAUGCACCUGGCUGGCUAUUGCCUUUGUCAGUUUUCUGCCCUGUGUAUAAGCACAUGCUUAUGAUAGUUGAUAAUGAGGAGUUCUAUGAGCAGGAGAAGCCAUUGUCAUUAAAAGAUAUCAAAUGUUUGAUUGUUAUCUUAAGACAGGCUUUAUGGCAACUCCUAUGGGUGAAUCCUGUUGCUCCAUCUAACUUAGUUCAUUCAUCUGCUGAGGUCUUUACUCUUAAGAGGCACCCUUUAGAAUUUGUUCAGCAUAGGGUUAGCAUUGUAGCUUCCGAGCUCCUGUCACAGUUGCAAGAUUGGAAUAACAGACGGCAGUUUACAACUCCUAGUGAUUUCCACGCUGAUGGUGUCAAUGAGCACUUUAUUUCUCAGGCUAUGAUAGAAAAUACUAGAGCUUGUGAAAUACUGAAACAUGCUCCAUUCUUGGUGCCAUCUACAAGCAGAGUUAAAAUAUUUACUUCGCAGUUGGCAGAAGCAAGGCAAAGACAUGGGUCUCAUGCUGUUUUUACGAGAAACCUAUUCAGAAUACGACGGGAUCAUAUUAUGGAAGAUGCUUUUAGCCAGCUGAGUGCAUUAUCUGAAGAGGAUCUUCGAGGACCGAUUCGUGUCACCUUUGUGAAUGAAUUUGGAGUUGAGGAGGCUGGUAUUGAUGGUGGGGGAAUUUUCAAAGAUUUCAUGGAGAACAUUACUCGGACAGCUUUUGACGUGCAGUAUGGGUUAUUUAAGGAAACGGUGGAUCACCUACUCUACCCCAAUCCUGGAUCAGGAAUGAUACAUGAAGACCAUCUCCAGUUUUUUCAUUUUCUUGGAACUGUUCUCGCGAAGGCGAUGUUUGAAGGGAUUCUUGUUGAUAUACCAUUUGCGACAUUCUUCUUGAGCAAAUUAAAGCAAAAGUACAACUAUUUGAAUGACUUACCUUCCUUGGAUCCAGAGUUAUAUCGCCACCUUAUUUUCUUAAAGCAUUAUGAAGAUGAUAUUUCAGAGUUGGAAUUGUACUUUGUUAUUGUGAACAAUGAAUAUGGGGAGCAAAAUGUAGAAGAGUUGCUUCCAGGAGGGAAAAACAUACGUGUUACUAAUGAGAAUGUCAUUACAUUUAUUCAUCUUAUAGCCAACUGUCGAUUGAACUUUCAGAUACGCCAACAAAGUUCUCAUUUCUUGAGGGGAUUUCAGCAGCUUAUACAGAAAGAUUGGAUAGACAUGUUUAAUGAACAUGAACUUCAGCUUCUGAUAUCUGGAUCAGUUGAUGGCUUUGAUGUUGAGGAUCUUCGAGCCCAUACUAAUUAUGCGGGCGGUUAUUAUAGUGGGUGGGUCCUAAGGGCCCCUUGCCUUCAGGAGGUUCCUCGUCAUUAAAAAGAAUAAAAAUCACCUGGCAGUGCCAGUUGUGCCCAAAAACUCCUUGCAUUCUUGGGCCAGGGGGCCAGGAUCAUUAUGUCAUUGAUAUGUUCUGGGAAGUUCUUAGGAAUUUUUCCAAGGAAAAUCAGAUGAAAUUUUUGAAGUGAGUUCUUCAUUUAUCAUUAACUUCUUAAAUUCUCUGAUGUGUGGGUUACAUAAUGGUAUACAUGCUGCAGUUGUUCAUAUGGCAGUUAAAUUUAUUCAUGUAUGUUCUUAGUGUAAUUUCCUUAGAAGUAAAUCCAAGUUUUACUUUGUUUAUACCAUUGUUUUUUUGGCGUGGUAUCUUCUUUUUGUUCGUCUUUUACAAAGUGAUGUCAUUUUCCCCUCUUUUGGGUUGAUGGAUGGAGUUUUGGAUUUGGAUUUUAUUAUCUUUCUCUCUUUGUUUCUCUUUGUGAAUGAUUCAAUUUGGGGGAAGGGAAAAAGAAAAAAGGAUUAACUGGGAAAAAACCUUUCUGAGUUAGUAUAUUGAAUAUUUGUUCCUGUUUCUUGGAAAAAAGCAUUGCUAAGUUGGUAAAAUGACAGUACUCUGAGCUAUCAUGACACACCAAAAAUGAACGUUUCAUAACUACCCAUUGUCUAUACGUGAUACAUCUCCUGAGGCUAAUGCUAAGGUUGCAGAGUUGAGUUCCCGCCAUUUUGUCUAGCCAAGGGGUUGAUCCACCUAUCUCUAACUAAGUUGCCCCACAUGGCUCACCGCGCUAUAUAAGGAGGCUUCAUGCAUGCAACAAUCAUCCAUCACAUCUUCUAAGGUAAACGGUACCAAAGUUGGUGUAAUGGAGGGGCUCAAGAGUGAGGAUGAUUCGCCAUCACUUCACCAAAGGAUUUUUAUCAACCAACUGUUCACCCACGUUGGGCAGUGUUACAGCUGCAAAUUUGUCUUCUUAUCACGUGAGGUGAUGAUGAGAUUUGUGAAUUAUUUGAAGUGGUUUGAGCUGGAAUGCAUAUCUUCAGAAAAGGAAUGUGCCGGUAAACCUAAGAUAAACUAUGUUAAUAUGUUACAGUGUGUCUCUCUCUCACUUUACUUUUUCCACCACCCACAACACAUUAUCAUCACCAUUCCCUAACCCACAUGGACUUGUUCCCAUCGUUUCAUACAACUCAUCAUUCAUCCCACUAGAAUAUAUAGAAUAUAUAUAUAUAUAUAUUUAAAAAAAAAA